rnacentral:rRNA from 1 species
UGCAUAAAUCAAGCGUUUAAGGGCGUAUGGCGGAUGCCUAGGCACUGAAAGGCGAUGAAGGACGUGGUAUACUGCGAUAAGUUUCGGGGAGCUGUAUGCGGGCUUUGAUCCGAAAAUUUCCGAAUGGGAUAACCCACCACUUUUUGUGGUACUUUAAACUGAAUUCAUAGGUUUAAAGAGCUAACCCGGAGAACUGAAACAUCUAAGUAACCGGAGGAAAAGAAAUCAAAUGAUAUUCCGUUAGUAGUGGCGAGCGAACGCGGAGAAGGCCAGUAACAAUGUUAAAAUAAUCUAAAUAGUUUGGAAAAACUAACCACAGAGGGUGAUAGUCCCGUAUGAGUAAUGUUUAACAUUGUUCUUGAGUAGAACGGGACACGUGUAAUCUUGUUUGAAUAUAGGGGGACCACCCUCUAAGCCUAAACACUCUUCAGUGACCGAUAGUGAACUAGUACCGUGAGGGAAAGGUGAAAAGAACCCCUAUUAGGGGAGUGAAAUAGAACCUGAAACCGUAUGCCUACAAACAGUCGAAGCUCUUUUUAGAGUGACGGCGUACCUUUUGUAUAAUGGGUCAGUGACUUAAUUUAUCCAGCAAGCUUAAGCCGUAAGGUGUAGGCGUAGCGAAAGCAAGUCUUAAAUGGGCGCAAGUUGUAUGAAUUAGACCCGAAAACGAAUGAGCUUACCAUGAGCAGGUUGAAAGCAGGGUAACACUUGCCGGAGGACCGAACCAGUUGACGUUGAAAAGUCUUUGGAUGACUUAUGGUAAGGGGUGAAAGGCCAACCAAAUUCGUAGAUAGCUGGUUUUCCGCGAAAACUAUUUAGGUAGUGCGUUGAGUAAAUUGAUGUUUGGAGGUAGAGCACUAAAGGGGCUAGGGGAGAGAAAUCUUUACCAACCCUCAUAAAACUCCGAAUGCCAAACAUUUUACCUCAGCAGACAGACUGUGGGUGCUAAGGUCCAUGGUCGAAAGGGAAAAAGCCCAGAUCACCAGAUAAGGUCCCUAAAUCAUGAUUAAGUGUGAAAGGAUGUGGAGAUUCCUAAACAGCCGGGAGGUUGGCUUAGAAGCAGCCAUCCUUUAAAGAUAGCGUAACAGCUCACCGGUCUAAUAGAGUUUCUGCGCCAAAGAUGUAACGGGGCUCAAAUCAUGUACCGAAUCUGUGAAUUUAUAAUUUCUUCGGAAAUUAUAUCUGGUAGCGGAACGUUCUGUAAGCCUGUAAAGGGAUACCCGUGAGGGAUCCUGGAGGUAUCAGAAGUGCGAAUGCUGACAUAAGUAACGAUUAACAGAGUGAAAAACUCUGUCGCCGAAAAUCCAAGGGUUCCUGCGCAAGGUUAAUCCGCGCAGGGUUAGUCGGUCCCUAAGACGAGGGCGAGAGCCGUAGUCGAUGGAAACAAGGUUAAUAUUCCUUGACCCGAUGGUAGUGACGGAUUUCGUAAAUUGUUAACUCUUAUUGGAUUGAGUUAGCCGUGAAGAAGUCCCAGGAAAUAGCUCCAUCAUAGGACCGUACCCGAAACCGACACAGGUGGAUUAUUAGAGUAUAAUUAGGCGCUUGAGAGAAUGAUGUUGAAGGAACUCGGCAAAAUGCCUCCGUAACUUCGGAAGAAGGAGGACCCAUUAUUAGGCAACUAUUAGUGGGUGGCACAAGCUAGGGAGAUGCGACUGUUUAUCAAAAACACAGGGCUCUGCUAACACGUAAGUGGAUGUAUAGGGUCUGACGCCUGCCCGGUGCUGGAAGGUUAAUGCGAUAGGUGCAAGCUUAUUUCUGAAGCCCCAGUGAACGGCGGCCGUAACUAUAACGGUCCUAAGGUA